rnacentral:tRNA from 1 species
CAUUAUGUAGCUUAAGUUAAAGCAUUGGUCUCUUAAACCAAAUUAUAGUUUAUUACUCCUAAUGAC